rnacentral:lncRNA from 10 species
AUCAACUACAUCUCCAUUGAUGAUUGAACCUUAGCAAUUCAUUCAGUACAAAAUUGGAACAAGAUACUCCCUGACUUCAAGAAUUUCACAAUGAAUUGGGAUAGGCACAAGGGUCAGGUAAUUAUCUUAGCUCUUGCUUGGGUAGCCAGGGGUAUGUAAAUCAGAUUAGGAGCACCAGGAUUCCUUUCAAGGGAGGUGAUAUUGAGCAGAGAUGUGAUGGUAGAGUACACAUUAAUUAGGAAAACAGGUGGUGGGAAGUCAUUCUGAGCAGAGGGAAGAACAUGCGGGAAGCCAUAGAGCGUCAUAAGGCAUGACCCUAUCCCAGCGCUGCUAGAGGUUCCGUAUAUCUAAAGAUGAUGCAGGAGCCAGAACUAGGGGCUGGAUAAUGGAGAAGCUUGCAUGCUAAACUUAUUACGAACUUUAUUUUGAAAGUAGUGGAACGUUAUUGGACCACUUCAAAAGCGGAGUGUUACGUUCAGGCUUGAAUUUUAGAAAUAUCUGUCUGGUAGCCAUGUGCAGGUUGGUUGGAAAGGGAGGCAUCAGACAGGAGACGAAUGAGAAAGCUGUUGCAGUCAUCUGGGUGAGAAACCAACGAGGGCCUGAAUAAGAUGGCGGCUGGAGACUAGCGCUGGAGAGGGGGAGCCUUCCAUAUCCGGCCACUUCUCUCCACAGCCGCCAUUUUGGCAGAAGCCUAAGCCUUGCUCAUCCCUUACUUAGGCUACAUUUUCAAAAGUCAGAAAAAACUUUUUCCUGAAGAAGGGGUUUCUGAGACAAGUAGGUCAAAGAAAGGCCAGCGUGUGGGAGUGUGUGUGUGUGUGUGUGUGUGUGUGUGUGUCCUUGAGUAAAAUUGCAAGCCAAAGAGGAAGGCAGCAGUAUGUAUUCUCUGUAGGACCCCUAUUUGUGACCAAUUGUAAGAUCAUCUGAAGAUCGAGUCCGAUUGCCUGGCCAGGCCGGGCUGGGUGGUAUGUGCCCCCGUCACGCCGGAGGUUCCUGCUUUAGCGACGCCAAAGAUUGGGUGUGAGGGCAGCCCGCGGUGACAGAGACACGGAUCGGACCGAGAGAAAAAGGCUGUGGGCUUCACUGAGCAGAGUGACGGCUGGAGUGCAAUGGAGGGAUCUUGGCUCACUGCAACCUCUACCUCCCAGGUUCAAGCAGUUCUCCUGCCUCCACCUCUAGAGUAGCUGGGAUUACAGGCACGUGCCACCACACUCGGCUAAUUUUUGUAUUUUUAGUAGAGACAAGGCUUCACCAUGUUGGCCAGUCUAGUCUCGAACUCCUGACCUCAGGUGAUCUGCCUGCCUCGGCCUUCCAAAGUGCUGGGAUUACAGACAUAAGCCACCUCGCCUGGCCUCUUCUCAUUACUUUCAUGCUGAAAUGUUUUAUAACAUAUACUACAACAAGCAGGAAUAUCAAAUAUCCUGCUUUAGGAUCUCCAUCUCAAAAGAAGAAAAAAAUACCUCCCAACCCUGUGUGACGGUUAAUAUAGAGUGUCAACUUGAUUGGAUUGAAGGAUGCAAAGUAUUGUUCCUGGGUGUUUCUGAGAGGGUGUUGCCAAAGGAGAUUAACAUUUGAGGCAGCGGACUGGGAGAGGCAGACCCACCCUCAAUGUGAGUGGGCACCAUCUAAUCAGCUCCAGCGCUGCUAGGAUAAAGCAGUCAGAGGAACGUGGAAGGAACGUGAGUCUUCUGGCCUCCAUCUCUCCCGUGCUGGAUGCUUCCCGCCCUCAAACAUCGGACUCCAAAUUCUUGAGCUUUUGGACUCUUGGACUUACACCAGUGGUUUGCCAGGGGCUCUCAGUCCUUCAUCCACAGACUGAAAGCUGCACUGUCGGCUACCCUGCUUUUGACGUUUUGGGAGGCAGACUGGUUUCCUUGCUCGUCAGCUUGCAAAUGGCCUAUUGUGGGACUUCCUCUUGUGAUCGUUCAAUUCACAGGACCUCCACAGUGUGCCUUUUGCUGGGUAGGAAAAUGCCAGCCAGCUUGGAAAACAAGAAGACACAUUUAUGUCUACCAUGAGCAUUGGCAUCAGCCAAUUAUCCCACACGUUUUCGGCUAGUCAGUGCUGAAGAGAGCAAGAAUUUCAACCCUUCUUGCUACAUUCAAGACAUAGAAAUCCAGCCAGAAGACAACUCGAGAUAUUUUGUGGAUCUAUGCCUUUCCUUCAGAAAAGCAAAUAUCUACCAUAAAAAAACACUGGUCCAAUAUUCACUUCUAUAAGAAAUGCAGGGGCAAAUAAAUUAUGGAUUUUAUUAUCGCUAAUAGAGUCACUUAACCAUUACUCCUUACUACAUUCUGCUUUUCUAACAAAAUUUCGACUGAAUAUUCUCCCUCAGAGCCUCCAAAAGGAACCAACUGAUGACAACUGAUUUUGGACUUCUGGCCUCCUGAACUAUAACAAAAUAAACAUCUGUUGUUUUAAGCAAGCCAGGUUGUGAUUGUUACAGAAGCUCUAGGAAACUAAAAUACUUAAUAUCUAAGUAUCUUAAAACUAAGAUACCUUCUUAUACCUUCUUAUCAUGCGAUCAUAGAAAAUAUGUCCAAUUAGUCACAAGUGGGAUUGGGCAAGAGAAGAUGGAUAAGGGGUGUAAAUCCUUCACCACAAUUAAGAAAUUAUACGUAGAAAUUGCAUUCUAUUGGUGAAGCAAUAAAAUCAUUGUUGGGAAUAAGAACAGCAUUACAGUGUGGUGGCUCAAACCUGUACUCCCAGCAAUUUGGGAGGCUGAGGCAGGCGAUUCA